rfam:Oryza nivara chromosome 1, whole genome shotgun sequence.
AAUAAGUGCAGCCAUAAGUUUUCGCGCUCAACUUUGAUCGUCCGUCUUAUUUGAAUUUUUUUUAUAAUUAGCAUUUUUGUUGUUAUAAGAUGAUAAAACAUGAACAGUAUGUCUUUAAUUUUCUUAAAAAAAUUUCAAAUAAGACAAAUGGUCAAAGUUGGAUGCGGAAAACCAUGCCUGCACUUAUU